rnacentral:rRNA from 1 species
UACAGAGGUGGCAAGCGUUGUUCGGAAUUACUGGGCGUAAAGGGCGCGUAGGCGGCCUUCUAAGUCAGACGUGAAAUCCCCCGGCUUAACCUGGGAACUGCGUCUGAUACUGGAGGGCUUGAGUGCGGGAGAGGGAUGUGGAAUUCCAGGUGUAGCGGUGAAAUGCGUAGAUAUCUGGAGGAACACCGGUGGCGAAGGCGGCAUUCUGGACCGACAUUGACGCUGAGGAGCGAAAGCCAGGGGAGCAAACGGG